GGGCUGGUGAAACACUGUUACUGUCUCCCAAAGUAUAUAUUUCAAUAAUUUUCAAAAAAUAAAUGGUGCAUUUAUGGAUAUAGCGAAGAAACAUCUAUUCUCUAUAAAUCAUCUUUUCAGAGGUGGGUAUCUUAAGAUGUCCACCUUUGUAUAUGGGGGCUAUAUGGUAGACACCCUAUGAGUCCCGCCUCAAGAAAAAGCCCAACCCAUUAUACUGUUAAGAACAAGUAUUAUGGUGGGCUGUAAGCUGGCUAAAUGCUGAUGUGGAGGAGAGAAGGGAGGAGAGAGAAGAAGCAGGCUGUAAGCUUACAGUCAGCUUAGACAUAAAAACCAAGAAACUUUGUGAGAGAGAUAAGUGGACCAUAUAUUAAUAGUGAAUAGCUAACUAUUGUAUGGGUGGGCUGGAAGAAGACUGUAAGAAACCUUACAGCCAGCUUGCUGGCUGUAUUAUUAAACUUGCUCUAAGUGUUAACGCAAACUGGCC
rnacentral:lncRNA from 1 species